rnacentral:rRNA from 1 species
GCAAACGGGAUUAGAUACCCCGGUAGUCCAGGGUGUAAACGCUGCAGACUUGGUGUUGGGGACCCUUCGGGGGUGUUCAGUGCCGGAGAGAAGUUGUUAAGUCUGCUACUUGGGGAGUACGUCCGCAAGGAUGAAACUUAAAGGAAUUGGCGGGGGAGCACCGCAACGGGAGGAACGUGCGGUUUAAUUGGAUUCAACACCGGAAAACUCACCAGCAGCGACUAUUACAUGAAAGUCAGGCCGAUGACCUUACUAGAUUUUUAGAGAGGUGGUGCAUGGCCGUCGUCAGUUCGUACCGUAAGGCGUUCUCUUAAGUGAG